rnacentral:rRNA from 1 species
GGUCAAGCGAACAAGUGCAUGUGGUGGAUGCCUUGGCGAUCACAGGCGAUGAAGGACGCGGUAGCCUGCGAAAAGCCCCGGGGAGCUGGCAAACAAGCUUUGAUCCGGGGAUGUCCGAAUGGGGAAACCCACUCCUUUUGGAGUAUCCAUAGCUGAAUACAUAGGCUAUGUGAAGCGAACGCGGUGAACUGAAACAUCUAAGUAACUGCAGGAAAAGAAAUCAACCGAGAUUCCCAAAGUAGUGGCGAGCGAAAUGGGAUGAGCCUUGUACUCUUUAUUUGUAUUGUUAGCCGAACGCUCUGGAAAGUGCGGCCAUAGCAGGUGAUAGCCCUGUAGGCGAAAACAGUAUGAAAGAACUAGGUGUACGACAAGUAGGGCGGGACACGUGAAAUCCUGUCUGAAGAUGGGGGGACCAUCCUCCAAGGCUAAAUACUCGUGAUCGACCGAUAGUGAACCAGUACCGUGAGGGAAAGGCGAAAAGAACCCCGGGAGGGGAGUGAAAUAGAUCCUGAAACCGCAUGCAUACAAACAGUCGGAGCCUCGUAAGGGGUGACGGCGUACCUUUUGUAUAAUGGGUCAGCGACUUACGUUCAGUAGCAAGCUUAACCGUAUAGGGCAGGCGUAGCGAAAGCGAGUCCGAAUAGGGCGUUCAGUUGCUGGGCGUAGACCCGAAACCAGGUGAUCUAUCCAUGGCCAGGAUGAAGGUGCGGUAACACGUACUGGAGGUCCGAACCCACUAACGUUGAAAAGUUAGGGGAUGAGCUGUGGAUAGGGGUGAAAGGCUAAACAAACCUGGAAAUAGCUGGUUCUCUCCGAAAACUAUUUAGGUAGUGCCUCGUGUCUCACCUUCGGGGGUAGAGCACUGUCAUGGUUGGGGGGUCUAUUGCAGAUUACCCCGCCAUAGCAAACUCCGAAUACCGAAGAGUGCAAUCACGGGAGACAGACAUCGGGUGCUAACGUCCGGUGUCAAGAGGGAAACAACCCAGACCGCCAGCUAAGGUCCCCAAAUAUGGCUAAGUGGGAAACGAAGUGGGAAGGCUAAAACAGUCAGGAGGUUGGCUUAGAAGCAGCCACCCUUUAAAGAAAGCGUAAUAGCUCACUGAUCGAGUCGUCCUGCGCGGAAGAUGUAACGGGGCUAAGCCAUAUACCGAAGCUGCGGAUGCGUGCUUGCACGCAUGGUAGGAGAGCGUUCCGUAAGCCUGCGAAGGUGCCUUGUAAAGGGUGCUGGAGGUAUCGGAAGUGCGAAUGCUGACAUGAGUAGCGAUAAAGGGGGUGAAAGGCCCCCUCGCCGUAAGCCCAAGGUUUCCUACGCAACGUUCAUCGGCGUAGGGUGAGUCGGCCCCUAAGGCGAGGCAGAAAUGCGUAGCUGAUGGGAAGCAGGUCAAUAUUCCUGCACCAUUGUUAGAUGCGAUGGGGGGACGGAUCGCGGAAGGUUGUCCGGGUGUUGGACGUCCCGGUCGCUGCAUUGGAGAAGGCGCUUAGGCAAAUCCGGGCGCAGGAUUCAAGGGUGUGGCGCGAGCGACUUCGGUCGCGAAGCAAUUGGAAGUGGUUCCAAGAAAAGCCUCUAAGCUUCAGUCUAACGAUGACCGUACCGCAAACCGACACAGGUGGGCGAGAUGAGUAUUCUAAGGCGCUUGAGAGAACUCGGGAGAAGGAACUCGGCAAAUUGGUACCGUAACUUCGGGAUAAGGUACGCCCUUGUAGCUUGACUGGCCUGCGCCAGAAGGGUGAAGGGGUUGCAAUAAACUGGUGGCUGCGACUGUUUAAUAAAAACACAGCACUCUGCAAACACGAAAGUGGACGUAUAGGGUGUGACGCCUGCCCGGUGCCGGAAGAUUAAAUGAUGGGGUGCAAGCUCUUGAUUGAAGUCCCGGUAAACGGCGGCCGUAACUAUAACGGUCCUAAGGUAGCGAAAUUCCUUGUCGGGUAAGUUCCGACCUGCACGAAUGGCGUAACGAUGGCCACACUGUCUCCUCCCGAGACUCAGCGAAGUUGAAGUGUUUGUGAUGAUGCAAUCUACCCGCGGCUAGACGGAAAGACCCCAUGAACCUUUACUGUAGCUUUGCAUUGGACUUUGAACCGAUCUGUGUAGGAUAGGUGGGAGGCUAUGAAACCGGAACGCUAGUUUCGGUGGAGCCGUCCUUGAAAUACCACCCUGGUUUGUUUGAGGUUCUAACCUUGGUCCGUGAUCCGGAUCGGGGACAGUGCAUGGUAGGCAGUUUGACUGGGGCGGUCUCCUCCCAAAGGGUAACGGAGGAGUACGAAGGUACGCUAGGUACGGUCGGAAAUCGUGCUGAUAGUGCAAUGGCAUAAGCGUGCUUAACUGCGAGACCGACAAGUCGAGCAGGUGCGAAAGCAGGUCAUAGUGAUCCGGUGGUUCUGUAUGGAAGGGCCAUCGCUCAACGGAUAAAAGGUACUCUGGGGAUAACAGGCUGAUACCGCCCAAGAGUUCAUAUCGACGGCGGUGUUUGGCACCUCGAUGUCGGCUCAUCUCAUCCUGGGGCUGUAGCCGGUCCCAAGGGUAUGGCUGUUCGCCAUUUAAAGAGGUACGUGAGCUGGGUUUAAAACGUCGUGAGACAGUUUGGUCCCUAUCUGCCGUGGGCGUUGGAUAUUUGAAGGGGGCUGCUCCUAGUACGAGAGGACCGGAGUGGACGAACCUCUGGUGUACCGGUUGUGACGCCAGUCGCAUCGCCGGGUAGCUAUGUUCGGAAGAGAUAACCGCUGAAAGCAUCUAAGCGGGAAACUCGCCUUAAGAUGAGAUAUCCCUGGAGGCUUGACCUCCUUGAAGGGUCGUUCGAGACCAGGACGUUGAUAGGUCGGGUGUGUAAGCGCAGUAAUGCGUUCAGCUAACCGAUACUAAUUGCCCGUAAGGCUUGAUCCU